rnacentral:rRNA from 1 species
UUGGAGGGCAAGUCUGGUGCCAGCAGCCGCGGUAAUUCCAGCUCCAAUAGCGUAUAUUAAAGUUGUUGCAGUUAAAAAGCUCGUAGUUGAAUUUCGAGACCGGUUUACUGGUCGUGCUUUUGUACGUACUGGUAUUAUUGGUUUCUCCUUUCUGACGAACUAUAAUGCCAUUAAUUUGGUGUUUUAGGGAAUCAGGACUGUUACUUUGAAAAAAUUAGAGUGUUUAAAGCAGGC